rfam:Camponotus floridanus CamFlo_1.0_4.contig3151, whole genome shotgun sequence.
GUCAACGGUCAUACCACGUUGUAAAGCACCAGUAGUCGUCCGAUCACUGAAGUUAAGCAACGUUGGGCAUGGUUAGUACUUAGAUGGGUGACCGCUUGGGAAUACCAUGUACUGUUGGCA